GUUUGAUUCUGGCUCAGAGUGAACGCUGGCGGCGUGCCUAAUACAUGCAAGUCGAACGAUGAAGCUCUAGCUUGCUAGAGUGGAUUAGUGGCGCACGGGUGAGUAAUGCAUAGAUAACAUGCCCUUUAGUCUAGGAUAGCCAUUGGAAACGAUGAUUAAUACUGGAUACUCCUUACGAGGGAAAGUUUUUCGCUAAAGGAUUGGUCUAUGUCCUAUCAGCUUGUUGGUGAGGUAAUGGCUCACCAAGGCUAUGACGGGUAUCCGGCCUGAGAGGGUGAACGGACACACUGGAACUGAGACACGGUCCAGACUCCUACGGGAGGCAGCAGUAGGGAAUAUUGCUCAAUGGGGGAAACCCUGAAGCAGCAACGCCGCGUGGAGGAUGAAGGUUUUCGGAUUGUAAACUCCUUUUGUUAGAGAAGAUAAUGACGGUAUCUAACGAAUAAGCACCGGCUAACUCCGUGCCAGCAGCCGCGGUAAUACGGAGGGUGCAAGCGUUACUCGGAAUCACUGGGCGUAAAGAGCGCGUAGGCGGGAUAGCAAGUCAGAUGUGAAAUCCUAUGGCUUAACCAUAGAACUGCAUUUGAAACUGUUAUUCUAGAGUAUGGGAGAGGUAGGUGGAAUUCUUGGUGUAGGGGUAAAAUCCGUAGAGAUCAAGAGGAAUACUCAUUGCGAAGGCGACCUGCUAGAACAUAACUGACGCUGAUGCGCGAAAGCGUGGGGAGCAAACAGGAUUAGAUACCCUGGUAGUCCACGCCCUAAACGAUGAAUGCUAGUUGUUGUGGAGCUUGUCUCUGCAGUAAUGCAGCUAACGCAUUAAGCAUUCCGCCUGGGGAGUACGGUCGCAAGAUUAAAACUCAAAGGAAUAGACGGGGACCCGCACAAGCGGUGGAGCAUGUGGUUUAAUUCGAAGAUACACGAAGAACCUUACCUAGGCUUGACAUUGAUAGAAUCCGCUAGAGAUAGUGGAGUGCUAGCUUGCUAGAACUUGAAAACAGGUGCUGCACGGCUGUCGUCAGCUCGUGUCGUGAGAUGUUGGGUUAAGUCCCGCAACGAGCGCAACCCUCGUCCUUAGUUGCUAACUAUUCGGUAGAGCACUCUAAGGAGACUGCCUUCGCAAGGAGGAGGAAGGUGAGGAUGACGUCAAGUCAUCAUGGCCCUUACGCCUAGGGCUACACACGUGCUACAAUGGGAAGCACAAAGAGAUGCAAUAUUGUGAAAUGGAGCAAAUCUAUAAAACUUCUCUCAGUUCGGAUUGUAGUCUGCAACUCGACUACAUGAAGCUGGAAUCGCUAGUAAUCGUAAAUCAGCUAUGUUACGGUGAAUACGUUCCCGGGUCUUGUACUCACCGCCCGUCACACCAUGGGAGUUGUAUUCGCCUUAAGUCGGAAUGCCAAACUGGCUACCGCCCACGGCGGAUGCAGCGACUGGGGUGAAGUCGUAACAAGGUACCC
rnacentral:rRNA from 1 species